UAACUGUCUAGGUUCGCCCCUUUAAUGGUCACCCUCGAAAGUCAAAAAGUUAAAAAGUUUCUAAAGGGCCUUCGUGCUGAUAUCUAUGAUCGGGUCGUGAUGCUAAGACCUAGCUCGUAUGCCGAGGUGCUAGAGCAUACCUAAUUGGCUGAAGACCUCAUCUCAAUCAAGCACCAACGCAUUGUCCCAAUCCGUACCCAAUAACAACAACCCCAAUAGCUUAAAAGGAGAGUGUCUGACCCAGUAAGUAGCCACCCCUAUAAAAAAAGUAGAGUUGCCCUUUCCCUUACUUUGC
rnacentral:lncRNA from 1 species